rnacentral:lncRNA from 1 species
UAAUAAUAGACUGGUGGAUACCCUAGUGAUGGGCCUCACUGGGCUAAGCUAGGCUGGUCCAAGGAUGAAAGGCAUAAUUCAUUGCUAGCUUGUACUGUGACUCUUCCCAGCUCAGUAGAACUUGCCAGGGCUUCUCCUUCACUGGCAUAGCUUUGGAGAUGCUGGGGUCACCACCAUACCCCAACAAAGCACAAGAGUAGGACUUGUCCUACACAUUUCAAAUCCUCGAGACAAAGGAAGGAACUAACUGUGAUUGGGAAAACAGGUAAUUCGUGAUUGCCUUCUGACCCAAGUUUGCUGUGUUUGUCAUCAUAUGAAUACACCAACCAAAGGCAUUUCUCACUUUCAAAGUAAAAUGGUGCUACAAGGCUCUGCCUCAUUUUGGACUCUCUUCUCUACUGAUUUGAAAACUGAAGCACCUGAUGACAAUGAACUAAGGCUGUUGGAGCUGCAACUAAGAUGAAAAUUCAGUCAUUCGACAUCAAUAUGUUCCAUGGUAAAGCUCGUUGUUCAAGAUGAUGAAACUGAAGUCCAGAGAGGGAAACAACAUCACACAGGUAAAACGGUAAAUGACAAAGAUGAGGAAACAGAGGCAAAUGAAGUUAAGCGACUUGCUCAAGGUCACACAGUGCAGCCAAUUGUUCCCACUUGGAACUGAACGGAAACAAAGGCAUCUGGAAUUCAUCUUUCCCUCUUGCCAACUGUCAAAGUACUUUGUACCACUCAGGCACUCUGACACUCCUUUACAAUAAGGAAACUGAGGACUCCAAUGGUGGUGGUCACUUAGGUGAAUUAAAUGGCAAAGCUGGGAUUCAAACUCAGUCCUUAGACUCCAAAUAUUCUCUAUAUCCUGCUGUCUCUGGAAGGAAAAUUUUAUACCUUUGUGUUGAUGAAGAAUUAAGACAAUGAGAAUUACCAUAUAUUUGCCAAGAAUCUACCUUGGGCUGAAGUAGCUUAUUUUACAAUAAUAAAAAUAUAUUGUGUUGGUAAAUAAAUUUGCA